rnacentral:lncRNA from 1 species
AUUAACUACUACGAAUAAGUAAAAAUAAAAAUAUCAAACUGCUCAAUCUUCUUUAACCAUGGAUCCAUCACCGAUCAAGUGAUCUAUUUUCUCCUCAGGGUGCUCAAAGAAGUCUGACACAUCCAAGUGGGUGAUGUCAAAAUUAUUGUCAGGGACAAAAUUGGUUUCAUGGCCUUUACUCUUUAGAGAUGCUUGAUAAAGCUCAACCAAAUGUCUUGGUAUAUGGCAAAUUUUUGCCCAGUGCCCUUUUCCACCGCAACGAUAACAUAUAGUUUCUGAACUUAUCUACUUCAGGCAAUGGUGUAGACCCAGUGGGUCGAUUUUCGUGAUUUCUCAUGAGCAGGUCAUUGUUUCGCUCAGCCACAAGGAGAAGAGAAAUCNN